UACCAUCAUCACCGGCCACCUGUUUCUUCUCUGUUGCUUUACUUGCACGGCUGCAACACCAACUCCUUCAGCUUUCACUUUCGGCCUAUAUGACGCUCUUCUACUCCAAGCAACAGGUCGGUCAAGAUUCGUGCCCGUUAAAAGCAGACAGGAAGGAAGAAGGCUCCGCCUCAUCAAGUGAGGGGGUGCCUCUGAGUUGGAUGCCAUGGUGCCGUGGAGGCUGGAGGCCCGCCUGGCGGAGACGGUGAGGGCGGCGCUCCUCGGCUGGCUCUUCUUCUGCAUCACCGUCGCCAGCGAUGUCGCACAUGCGCUCAGAAGCAGCGAUCUCUCCAUCUAAGACCGGCCACGUUCGACAUGGCCAAGACCGACUCUGUGCCUACAAAGUGGCAGUUCAUUGGGCGCACAGGAAGAAAAUUUAUUUACAGCAGUGUAACCAGUCAGUGAGUUCAUCCAUGAGAGAAUGAGUUCGAUGUAAAGGUGAA
rnacentral:rRNA from 1 species